rnacentral:lncRNA from 1 species
AACAAAGGACAAGCCUAAAUAACACCUAACAAGCAAAAUAUAUAUUUUCUAGUCCUGCCUAUUCUGGUUGGCAUUUUUUUUUUUUUGGCUGAUCUCUGAUCUAUCUUAACCCUUCACCUAAGUUUUCUUGCCUCAUUCUGUUUAUUAUGAUCACACAGGCUCAAGAUGCUGCUUCGUUCCCAAAUCUUUUAUUUUUAAUAAAUUGCUGAUUUCAUAAUCUCUAAUGCUAUUGCUCCUACUUACCAUCAAUCUUCCCCAUUUCCAUCCCUGUCCUGCUCUCCUGGGGAGUUGUUCUUGUAUAAAACAGCAAAUACCAACUCAAGAAACAAGCUAUGGAUUUGAGACAUUUUCUGGAAAACUUGUGAACUAGAAGCCAGUAAACAAAUGAAACUAAUUCUUGUGCAUUCUACUGUUUUUGUGCCUAUGCCAUCAUCCUUGCACGAAGCAGAAAGAAAGCUGGGAGUAUCCCGAGUACCUUUUCAAAGCCAUUAUGGGGUAAUGUGCAUUAUACAGUGUAUUACAAGUGCAUUCAUUCAUCAGCUGUGGGGGUGGUACAGCAGGAUGGAGGAAACUGGGAUACUCUGGCAGCUGAGUUCCCAGCACAUCCUCCAUGGUGUGUGAGGAGUAUCAGAGUGGGCUCCCUGUUCCAACACUUGAGCUGAGUGGAGUGCUGGAAUCACAAAGCUAAGAAAGGCAGCGGUGCCUUAAAGCCCUGCAGCUCCCAGAGUUGUGUCACAGGGAGAGCACUGGGAAGGCUUGGUCUAGCAUUUCUGCUCAAUCCCAAAAGUAGGAGCAAAGAUUUAUCAAAACAUACUCUGUUUUCUUUUCUUUGGUCCUUCAGCCCUUCAAAGCACAUUAUUUCACACCACUGCUUAUUCAGAACAGCUCAGGUGAAAAGCUUGUCCAGCAAGAAUCGUCCCCUCCCUCUUUUCACAUACCCACAUCUGUAUCUGGCACUACAUUCUUGUGUUCAGAAAUGCAAACACUUCUCUGCCCCUGCUCUUCCCAGUCACCAGUAUUGCCACUGCCUGCUUUAGGAUACUAUUGGGAAAAACUGUUUUCUUACUGGAUAUAAUACACCAUUCUCUGUAUCUUCUCUUCUAAAUGUUUAUUCUGCAGAAUUUCCCCAACAGCACAUGGACACAGCAUCUUUUUGUUUUCUCCUCUAAUCCAUUCCUAACAAAUAAACCGAACCGGACAAAUAAAAAUUCA